CAAUAGCGUAUAUUAAAGUUGUUGCAGUUAGAACGCUCGUAGUCGGAUUUCGGGGCGGGCCGACCGGUCUGCCGAUGGGUACGCACUGGUCGGCGCGUUCUUCCUUCCGGAGACCGUUCCUACUCUUAACUGAGCGGGGGCGGGAGACGGAUCGUUUACUUUGAAAAAAUCAGAGUGUUUCAAGCAGGCAGCUCGCUCUUGCAUGGAUUAGCAUGGGAUAAUGAAAUAGGACUUUGGUGCUAUUUUGUUGGUUUCGAACACCGAAGUAAUGAUUAAAAGGGACAGUCAGGGGCACUCGUAUUCCGCCGAGAGAGGUGAAAUUCUCAGACCAGCGGAAGACGAACUACUGCGAAAGCAUUUGCCAGGGAUGUUUUCACUG
rnacentral:rRNA from 1 species